rnacentral:rRNA from 1 species
CGAAGGUCCCGAGCGUUGUUCGGAAUCACUGGGCGUAAAGGGAGCGUAGGCGGCGUGGUAAGUCAGAUGUGAAAUCCCGGGGCUCAACCCCGGAACUGCAUCCGAUACUGCCAUGCUAGAGUGAUGGAGAGGUAGCUGGAAUUCUUGGUGUAGCAGUGAAAUGCGUGGAGAUCAAGAGGAACACUCGUGGCGAAAGCGAGCUACUGGACAUUUACUGACGCUGAGGCUCGAAGGCCAGGGUAGCGAAAGGGAUUAGAUACCCCUGUAGUCCUGGCAGUAAACGGUGUGCGCUUGGUGUGAGGGGAAUCGACCCCCCCUGUACCGGAGCUAACGCGUUAAGCGCACCGCCUGGGAAGUACGGUCGCAAGACUA